GAUGAAGAACGUAGCGAAAUGCGAUAAGUAAUGUGAAUUGCAGAAUUCAGUGAAUCAUCGAAUCUUUGAACGCACCAUGCACCCUUUGGCAUUCCGAAGGGUAUGCUCGUUUGAGUGUCAUUGUACUCUCACACUCCCAAUUGCUUUGGAUUGGGAGCGGUGGACUUGGGUGUUGCUGCUUGACUGAGGCUCACCUGAAAUAUGUUAGUGCACCUCUUGAUUGGACAUAGUACGGCGUGAUAAGUGUCUUCGCCGGCUCCUCGCAAAGAGGGUGGCCGAUCGGGAGCUCUGUUGCUUCAAACUGUCUUCGGACAAUCUUCUGGCGACUUGACCUCAAAUCGAGUAGGACUACCCGCUGAACUUAAGCAUAUCAAUAAGCGGAGGA
rnacentral:misc_RNA from 1 species